rnacentral:lncRNA from 1 species
AAAUAAGUUGCUUUUGGCAAUGCCUAAGUUCUCAUAAGCAUGGGAAUAAAAGCAGCCACCAGAUUAAUUAUGUCAUAUUUACCAUCGCAAGAAGGCGAAGAACACUCUGCUCUGGUAAUCUACUUCCAUCAAAUCAAACACGUCCUAAUUGUGGUAUUUUCUCGUUUCUCUUUCUCAGUUUGAUCAAGAAAUCAAUCUUUUGAAUUCUCCUUAGCAGUGGAUAUCUUCUUCAUAACAAAAUAUUCCUUUUAAAUUGUUGGAAAAUAUGAAUGUAUGGGUCCAAACUUGACCAAUACGACAAAC